CGGGAUUCCCUGAGUAAGGGCGACUGAAACGGGACCUAGCCCAGCGCAUAACCUCGCGGUUCGGACAGAGCCGACGAGGGGUGUUGCGUAUCGGUGGAUCCGUCCCGCUCGUGCUCUACCGCCUAAGUCCAAGUAAGAGGCCCGUGUGGCGGCGCCCGCAAGGGCUACUAGAGCGCGGGCGGAGGGAUCGCUUCACCGGAGAGUCGGGUUGCUUAAUACUGCAGCCCUAAGAGAGGUGGUAAACUCCAUCUAAGGCUAAAUACAACCACGAGUCCGAUAGGAGACAAGUACCGUGAGGGAAAGUUGAAAAGGACUUUGAAGAGAGAGUUCAAGAGUACGUGAAGCCGUUAGAAGCUUAAACGGGUGGAACCGCGAAGGUCGAACGAGGGCACUCACCUCGUCGGGCGGGCGGGACCCGGGGUGCUCCGACAGGCCGGCGCCGAUGUCCAAAGUGUGAGCGCAGGAGCGCCCUGUCCGUCGCGUCCCGUUCCGGCGGGCGUACUUGUCCCUCCAGUAGGGAACGCCGCGAGCCGUGGCGGGGACCAGAAGGCCCGCAUAGCCCGGAUUGGUACCCUCGGUCCGGAGGGGAAACCGCGGCUGGGAGUUGCUUGGUGGCCCUGCCACGGCUGGGCCCAGGGCAGACCAGCAAUGGUCUGCCUCGCGGCGGAGAACGAAGUCGGUGAUCCACCUGACCCGUCUUGAAACACGGACCAAGGAGUCUAACAAGUGUGCGAGUCUAAGGGCUCCGUCGAGACCCGGAGGCGCAAUGAAAGUGAGUGAGAAAUGCAGGCCGAUCCCCCGCCCUCGCGGCGGGGGCGCAGGCCGGGGACUUGCCGCCCGGCGGCCGUCGACGGCCUCCCUCGGGGGGCUCCGGCGGUCCGCCGGCAAGUACCUCCAGAGCACACGCGUUGGGACCCGAAAGAUGGUGAACUAUGCCUGGCCAGGACGAAGCCAGAGGAAACUCUGGUGGAGGUCCGAACCAGUUCUGACGUGCAAAUCGAUUGUCGGAGCUGGGUAUAGGGGCGAAAGACUAAUCGAACCA
rnacentral:rRNA from 1 species